rnacentral:rRNA from 1 species
GUCGGUGUUGAUUGCGCUGAGGACCCACCCGUUCCCAUCCCGAACACGGUAGUUAAGCUCAGUAGCGCCGAAGAUACUUGGCGGGGGACUGCCUGGGAAAAUAGGUAAUGCCGACA